rnacentral:lncRNA from 1 species
UGUCAGGGGCUGCUGGAUAAGUCACCAGGGGAGCUAACAGCACCUCCUUAGAGGCUUGGCAAGGUCUAAUUGGACGCAGCUCAGGAGGCUUUCCAUCCCUCGCACAUGGCCUGGGGCCCUCUUGGAGCAAGGACAGCACCUUCCAGCCAAGGCCGGAAGUCCUACACUACACCCUCAUGGUUGACACUGGGCAGAAGCAGACUGUAUAAAACCGGGUGGGAGAAAAAGAUUGGGAACAAACAUUCUAAGUGUGAUUUGCAAAGGGUUCGCGGAAAAUACAACUCGAGACAUGAAAGGACACUUGAGUUUUGUCUGUGAUAAUUUGUACUUUUUGAUCAAUUUGUUUAUAUGGUUAUCUUCCCAUAACAUUGUAUGUUGGUGCUACAAAUGGCACAAAAAUGUCAUUUGGUCUGUACCGUCUCUGCAGUGUCGCAACAAUCCCUACGUGAAAGGAACCAGUGGCUGUGCCCAGAGCUGAAGGGAGGCACACGAGCCACGUUCGAGCUGCCGCCCUCUCCUCUCAGGGUGGUCAGAAACACACGCACAUUUGUCCAGAAUUUUUGGAGUGACCCAGGCCAGUGGUUACACAAUGAAGCAGGCUCCCGGACGAGAUUUUGUGCCCGUGCUAAGACAUGACACAUGGCACAUGGCAAGAGGAUGGGCAAACAAAUUCAGAAGAGAUGGACAGAAAGGAAACGCUCCUUUGAAUCUGCUGUAACUCAGAAGCUCCUUGAAGAGAGACGUUGGGCAGGACUUUUCUUGGUGCUGAUGGUGCCGAUGGUCAAAGUGUCUUGCUUGCCACCCUGUUUCAAAGGCUCUCCAGAGGGAUCAGGGUGAGGAAGAGUGACGGGAACGUGAGCUCACUGCCUGUGUGACCUCAGGCCCCCUGCCACUGCUUGGGCUGGCAUGUGUACCCAUGGAGGUUUUGUGACAUGGGUGUGACAAGGGGAAGCACACUGCUCCUGGUGCUUCUUCUGCCCCACUCUCUCAGUCUUGUCUGUGAUCUCACUCUUCAGGUCCUGCCUACAGCUGCGCCUGCAUUCCAGGCUCUCCCUGCUGCUCACCCUUGCCAUCACUGCCGCCCUCGCCAGCGAUCUUCGUUUCUCACCUUCAUUUCUCCAGCUGCAACAGCGCUGGAUAUGGAUCAUCUCUGGCAAGACUCAGGUACUCAACCAUGGUUGCAGAAAAUGGACGAAGACAUCCUGCUCUGA